UCCCUUGUGACUAAGCUGGUAAAGAAUCCGCCUGCAAUGCGGGAGACCUGGGUUCAAUCCCCGGGUCGGGAA
rnacentral:tRNA from 1 species